AUAUAGCAGAAUAUAAUUUCUUCGGGAGGCAAUUAAAAGGAAAAAGAUGGAGCAGCUCCUGCAACACCAUACAUGUUCAAGUGUGUUGCUUCUGGAUUGAUUCAUCCACACAGUGGUGGAUCUAAUCCAACCAAUAAUUUUUCGAUCAUUUCGGUGGUCAAGAUGGUGGCCCAUUUUUACGUGCACCGGUUCCAUUUGGG
rnacentral:lncRNA from 1 species